rnacentral:tRNA from 1 species
GCUCCUCUAGCCGAACCUGGCAGAGGCAACGGUCUGAGGGACCGUCAAGUAUGGGUUCGACCCCAUGGGGAGCA